UGUGAUAGACGUCAUCACGACGGGGAUAUUUGGCAUCGUGACACCACCACCCCUUAGUCCCUUACAAUUCAUUGACACGCUCAUUGGAUGCUCCUAAUUGGAAAUAAGAAAUUGAGUAAUUGGUUUCUUUGUCUGUGUGUGUCUGAAACGGCGGCCUCUUUGAUCCUUUUUCUAAACAAAAAUUCCAACUGCUCUCAGCCAUGGUAGGAGCUUGGCCGGUCUAUUUUUGUGCAAGAAAUUCAUUAUUUCCGUUUUUUAUCUAGUUCGAGUUUUCCGGUGAGCUUCAAGGUCACUGGUGAUAAUUUCCCGGCUCCUGUUCAUACUACCAUUGCUAUAAUUGAAAGGGUGUCGCAUCUUGAGGUCCAUUCUUCUCUUAAAUACUCUGCUUUGAUUACGUUAUUUGGUGUUAAUUGUUAUUUAAUUCCCCAUGAUUGUCACUGAUUUAGCUAGAUUACAUUGAUAUGAUGAUAAUUGUUUGAGCUAUCGAUUGAAUUUCUUUAGUUGAGUACAUGUUGGGAUUAUCAAUUUAUGGGCUAUAAGUUUUAGUAUAAUGAACUAUAAAGCAAAUUUGGAUCCUAACUAAUCAAGUUGGUCGUGGGUUGUUGGUUUAAAAUUGGACCUGAGGCUUGAUCAAUAAUGAGAUAGAUGUAAGCUUAAGAAAGAUUUUGUUGUUCUUGUUUCAUUUCUCUUCGAUAGUAGCAUGCUUUAGGCCUACCAUACUUGGGUAGGAAAACCUUAGGUCUUUUAUUUCAUUUUUAUUCAAGGUGAGAAGUCGUUCCCUUUAGUUUAUAUUUAAGGCAAUGCCCCGCAGAUUUUGUAUAUAUUUUUAAUCGGGGUAUGCCCUAAAGUGAAUGUAAAAGGAGGACGAGGCAUCAUCUAUGGACCAUUAGCCUAGCAUAGUAUAGAACUUUUAGUGCUUUUAAUUUUAUUUUUAUUUUUUUCUAUAUUAUUAGGUAGGGACUACCUCGAGCCUUUUGUGUAUUUAUUUCAUUUUUGUGUAUUUUUUCCUCAAUUAGAAUAUCCUUUAAAGCCGACUUGAUCAUGUAUGCAACCAUACUAGUUACGGGACUCGAGGAAUGCCUAACACCUUCUCCCCGAGUCAAAUGAAUCCCCUUUCUUAGAAUCUCUGGUGCAGUCAGUUUUAUAGUCCAAACGUGUUUUAAAAGAAUAAAUCAUUUCUAAAGAUGAUGACCUGACACACCAAAACCAAAUAUCAGGUGGUGACUCUGAAAAAUCUUUUGAACACAAAUUUGUCACUUUCUAAAUGAAAACCCUUUUGAGCUUUACAAAUCUUUUUAUUCUUUUAAAAAGGGUUAGUGAAGUAAAAAAAAGGUGUGACAGCAAAGGGAGUUGCUCGUGGCAUGUUGUACAAGACAAAUGCAGAAAUAUGCCGAGGUGAAUUGGACAUGAAACACGAUGAGAUUUCUACAGAUUUGUGGCACAAAAGAAUGGGUCAUAUGAGCGAGAAGGGAUUGCAGAUUCUUGCUAGGAAAUCACUCAUCUCUUUUGCCAAAGGUACAUCGGUAAAACCUCGUGACUACUGUUUAUUUGUUAAGCAGCAUAGGGUCUCAUUUCAGACAUUGUCUGAAAGAAAAGUGAAUAUUCUUGAUUUAGUAUAUUAUGAUAUUUGUGGUGCAAUGGAAAUUGAAUUGAUGGGCAGUAACAAUGUUUUAUUACUUUUAUUGAUGAUGUUUUACGUAAAUUGUGGGUUUAUAUCUUGAAAACCAAAGAUCAGGUGUUCAAGUUUUUCAGAAGCUUCAUGCUCUGGUGGAAAGGGAGACGGGCCGAAAGUUAAAGCGUCUUCGAAGUGACAAUGGAGGUAAGUACACUUCAAGGGAAUUUGAAGUGUAAUGUUCAAGUCAUGGGAUCAGACAUGAAUAGACAGUUCCUAAAACCCCAUAACACAAUGGCGUAGCUGAGAGGAUGAACUGCACCAUUGUUGAGAAGGUGAGAAGCAUGCUCAGAAUGACUAAAUUACCCAAGUCAUUCUGGGGUGAAACAGUUCAGACAGCAUGUUACCUGAUCAAUAGGAGCCCAUCAGUUCCACUGGAGUUUGUCAUCCCAAAGAGAGUUUGGACCUACAAGGACGUGUCCUACUCACAUCUGAAAGUGUUUGGUUGCAGAGCUUUUUCACAUGUAUCAAAGAAGCACAGAACAAAGUUGGAUGAUAAAUCCAUUCACUGCAUAUUCAUUGGAUAUGGAAUGAAGAGUUCGAGUACAGAUUGUGGGAUCCUAUAAGAAGAAGGUCAUCAGAAGCAAAGAUGUAAUCUUCCAAGAAAGUGAAGUUGGAGCUGUAGAUAAUCAAUCAGAGAAGCCCAAGAAUGGUAUAAUCCCUAACCUUGUUACCAUUCCUUCUACUUCUAACAAUCCCACAAGUACAGAAAGGAGAGCCGACGAGGUUGCCGAGCAGGGGGAGCAACCUGGUAAGGUUAUUGAGCAGGGGGAGCAACUUGAUGAUAGUGUCGAGCAAGUGGAGUACCCUACUUUGGAAGAAGAAUAACCUCAACCUCUGAGGAGAUCAGAAAGGCCAAGGGUAGAGUCAUGCAGGUACCCUUCCACAGAAUAAGUCCUCAUCAAUGAUGGGGGAGGGAAUCUAGAAAGUCUUAAAGAAGUGUCGUCCCAUCCAGAAAAGAACUAGUGGAUGAAUGUCAUGCAAGAAGAGAUGGAAUCUCUACAGAAAAAUGGCAUGUACAAACUAGUUCAACUUCCAAAGGUAAAAGACCACUCAAAUGUAAGUGGGUUUUUAAACUCAAGAAAGAUGGAAACGGCAAGCUGGUCAGAUACAAAGCUCGAUUGGUGGUUAAAGGCUUCGAAUAGAAGAAAGGUAUUGAUUUUGAUGAAAUUUUCUCACAUGUUGUCAAAAUAACUUCUAUUUGAACAAUUUUGAGCUUAGCAGCUAGCCUAGAUCUUGAAGUGGAGCAGUUGGACAUGAAAACUACAUUUCUUCACGGAGAUUUGGAAGUAGAGAUUUUUAUGGAGCAGCCAGAAGGAUUUGAAGUAGCUAGAAAGAAACACAUGGUGUGCAAAUUGAAUAAAAGUCUUUAUGGGUUAAAGCAAGCACAAGGCAGUGGUACAUGAAGUUUGACAUAUUCAUGAAAAGUCAAACAUACAUAAAGACUAUUCUGAUCCAUGUGUAUACUUUAAAAGAUUUUCUGAUAACAACUUUAUUAUAUUAUUGUUGUGUGUGGAUGACAUAUUGAUUGUAGGACAAGACAAGGAGCUAAUUAUAAAGUUGAAGAAAGAUCUCUCCAAGUCAUUUGAUAUGAAGGACUUGGGCGCAGCACGACAAAUACUGGGGAUAAAGAUAGUUCGAGAGCGAACAAGCAGAAAGUUGUGGCUAUCUUAGGAGAAGUACAUUGAACGUGUACUAGAACGCUUCAACAUGAAAAGUGCUAAGUCAGUCAACACGCCUCUUGCUGAUCAUCUGAAGUUGAGCAAGAAGAUGUGUCCUACAAUACCGGAGGAGAAAGGGAACAUGGCUAGAGUUCCUUCUUCUUCAGCAGUUGGAAGCUUGAUGUAUGCAAUAGUAUGCACCAGACCUGAUAUUGCUCAUGAAGUUGGUGUUGUUAGUAGAUUCCUUGAAAAUCCUGGAAAGGAACAUUAGGAAGCAGUCAAGUGAAUACUCAUGUACCUAAUAGGUACUGUAGGAGAUUGCUUGUGUUUGGAGGAUUUGGUCCAAUCUUGAGGGCUACACAAAUGCUGAUAUGGCAGAUGAUCUUGAUAAUCAUAAAUCUACUACUGGAUACCUUUUCACAUUUUCAGGGAGAGCUAUAUCAUGGUAGUCGAAGUUGCAGAAGUGUGUCGCACUCUCUACAACUGAAACAGAGUAUAUUGUCGUUACUGAAGCUGGUAAGGAGAUGGUAUGGCUGAAACGGUUUCUUCAAGGACUUGGAUUGCACCAGAAGGAAUAUAUAGUCUAUUGUGAUAGUCAAAGUGCAAUAGCCUUGAGCAAAAAUACCAUGUAUCAUGCAAGAAUAAAAUAUAUCGACGUGCGAUGUCACUGAAUUCGGAAAAAGUUAGAGGAUAGAUCUAUGCAGGUCAAGAAGAUCCAUACAAGUGAGAAUCCUUUAGAUAUGGUGACCAAGGUGGUAGCAAGAGACAAGUUCAUGCUAUGCAAAGAACUUGCCGGUAUGCAUUCAAACUAGAAAUCCAAUAUUGUCUCCUUCAAGUGAAUGGGCCUGGAGUGGGAGAUUUGUGGGGUCCAACCCAUUAUUAGAAUAAAGAAAGAAGAAGUGUAACAGGCAUGUGCCUAUGGAUAGCCUCGUCAGAGAGCCUUGGAGCCAAAGUUUAGAUUUGUGGAGGAGAAUUAAUAAUUCUCCUAUAGCAUUCUUGGAGACUAAGUUUUGCUCUCUUAUAAAAGGGGAUCUCUUUCACUUCUUAAGACACACCAUAAAAGAGAGAAAGAAAGAGUGAGGCAUCACAAACACGGUGUAAGAAAAUUGUCUGUGAAGAAAAUAGAGAGUGUGAGCGAUAUUGUAGUGAGGUGGGAAUAUCAAAAGAGGGUUAUUUUUUUUUUGAGUGUUGUAGUGGUCUUUGAAGUAUUUUACUCGGACAUACAAAGUGUAAAAUUCCUUGCUAUAGUGAUAUCAGUUGCUCCUCUCGAGGUCGUGGUUUUUUCCCUUAUUCAGAAGGGUUUUCCACGUAAAAAUCUUAGCGUCGUUGUCACUCUUUUAUUCUUGUUGAUUACCGUAUCUUGGUGCUACACUAUUAUUCCGUUGUUAUUACCGUGAAUAUUAUUUCUGUGGGGGUUCAUAUAUAUAUAUAUAUAUGAACAAUUAGCUGAUUACAUAUUUUUCAUUAGUAUCUCGUUCCAUCCAUCUUGUUAGUUUGAUCAGAUAUUCCUUGCUUGUGAAAUUUUUUAAUCAAUUAUCAAUACAAGAGAAGGCUACGUACCCUACAAUAUUCUAUUCCAGAUAACUAUGUAUUUGCAAUGCUGAACUCAAACAGCUAAACGUACAUCAUGCGAUUUUGUUAAGAAUUCUCAGAUAGAUUGGUUGGCCAUGAUGCCUAUGCACUCUUUAUGUGCAGCAUCAAAUGUUAGAAUUGUACUGGUAGCAUGAAUAGAUAAUGCAUAUUCAAUGUUACCAUUAUGAAUAAGAUAGUACACCAUAUAUAUUAUGAGAUGCCUUUGCAACUCCACACUAAUAUCUCAUAGAAACUCUGCAAUCCUUAUUUAGUCUUUCUUCUUUGCUGCUCUGCAGUUCAGGUUGGUAAGUCAUUGAUGUUUACUGCCACCGUUGUUUCUACCUGUAUGAAUGUCAAAAUAUUUCAGUUGAUGUUUAACCGGUCAAUCAGGAAUUCUCUAUGUCAAGGAUUUAAGUUAUACAUACUGGUGCUGCUGAUAGAGUUGCACGUAACUACAAUGUAGUUUUUUUUCCAGAAGUUUAAAUCAUAUUAUAGUGAAAGGGA
rnacentral:lncRNA from 1 species